GUGCUUGCUUUGUCAGCACAUAUACUAAAAUUGGAACAAUAAAGAGAUUAGCAAGGCCCCUGCACAAGAAUGGCAAGCAAAUUUGUGAAGUGUUCCUAUUAAAA